rnacentral:misc_RNA from 1 species
UGGCUCUCGCAUCGAUGAAGAACGCAGCGAAAUGCGAUAAGUAAUGUGAAUUGCAGAACUCAGUGAAUCAUCGAAUCUUUGAACGCACCUUGCGCUCCUCGGUAUUCCGAGGAGCAUGCCUGUUUGAGUGUCAUUAAAUUCUCAACCUCACCGACUUUGCGGUCGUGUGUAGGCUUGGAUGUGGGGGCUUGCAGGUCCACUCGUCGUGGUCUGCUCCUCUGAAAUGAAUUAGUGGGUUGAGCCCCUAAUCUAUUGGUGUGAUAACUAUCUACGCCGUGGAUUUAUGGAUGCUACGAUAGACCUGCUUCUAACCGUCCUCCUGAAGGACAAUACUUGACCAUCUUGACCUCAAAUCAGGUAAGACUACCCGCUGA